AAUCAACGCUGGCGGCGUGCCUCAGACAUGCAAGUCGAACGAGAACCUCCCUUCGGGGAGGGGACAGUGGCGCACGGGUGAGUAACACGUGAGUAAUUUACCUUUGGGUGGGAACAACAGCCGGAAACGGCUGCUAAUACCGCAUAACGCAGCGGCUCGACAUCGAGACAGUUAGUUAAAGCGGGGAUCGCAAGACCUCGCGCCUGAAGAGAAGCCUGCGGCGGAUUAGCAGUUGGUAGGGUAAUGGCCUACCAAGGCGACGAUCU
rnacentral:rRNA from 1 species